rnacentral:rRNA from 1 species
AGAGUUUGAUCAUGGCUCAGAUUGAACGCUGGCGGCAGGCCUAACACAUGCAAGUCGAACGGUAGCACAGAGGAGCUUGCUCCUUGGGUGACGAGUGGCGGACGGGUGAGUAAUGUCUGGGACACUGCCCGAUGGAGGGGGAUAACUACUGGAAACGGUAGCUAAUACCGCAUAACGUCGCAAGACCAAAGAGGGGGACCUUCGGGCCUCGCGCCAUCAGAUGAACCCAUAUGGGAUUAGCUAGUAGGUGAGGUAACGGCUUACCUAGGCGACGAUCCCUAGCUGGUCUGAGAGGAUGACCAGCCACACUGGAACUGAGACACGGUCCAGACUCCUACGGGAGGCAGCAGUGGGGAAUAUUGCACAAUGGGCGCAAGCCUGAUGCAGCCAUGCCGCGUGUGUGAAGAAGGCCUUCGGGUUGUAAAGUACUUUCAGCGGGGAGGAAGGGGUUAAGGUUAAUAACCUUAGCCAUUGACGUUACCCGCAGAAGAAGCACCGGCUAACUCCGUGCCAGCCGCCGCGGUAAUUC